rnacentral:rRNA from 1 species
UACGGAGGGGGUUAGCGUUGUUCGGAAUGACUGGGCGUAAAGCGCGCGUAGGCGGAUCAGUAAGUUGGGGGUGAAAUCCCGGGGCUCAACCCCGGAAUGGCCUUCAAAACUCCUGGUCUUGAGUUCGAGAGAGGUGAGUGGAAUUCCGAGUGUAGAGGUGAAAUUCGUAGAUAUUCGGAGGAACACCAGUGGCGAAGGCGGCUCACUGGCCCGGUACUGACGCUGAGGCGCGAAAGCGUGGGGAGCAAACAGG